rnacentral:rRNA from 1 species
UUUAUGGAGAGUUUGAUCCUGGCUCAGGACGAACGCUGGCGGCGUGCCUAAUACAUGCAAGUCGAGCGGAGAAUGGCUUUGCUUUUCAUUCUUAGCGGCGGACAGGUGAGUAACACGUGGGCAACCUGCCCUAUGGGCUGGGAUAACCUCGGGAAACCGAAGCUAAUACCGGAUAAUCUUAGGAGUCACAUGACUCUUAAGUAAAAGUUGGGUUUACCCUAACACUACAGGAUGGGCCCGCGGCGCAUUUAGCUAGUUGGUAGGGUAAUGGCCUACCAAGGCGACGAUGCGUAGCCGACCUGAGAGGGUGAUCGGCCACACUGGGACUGAGACACGGCCCAGACUCCUACGGAGGCAGCAGUAGGAAUCUUCCUGUGGACGAAAGUCUGACGGAGCAACGCCGCGUGAACGAUGAAGGCCUUCGGGUCGUAGGAUUCUGUUGUUAGGGAAGAACAAGUACCGUUCGAAUAGGUCGGUACCUUGACGGUACCUAACGAAAGCCACAGCUAACUACGUGCCAGCAGCCGCGGUAAUACGUAGGUGGCAAGCGUUGUCCAGGUGUGGGCGUAAAGCGCGCGCAGGCGGUUUCUUAAGUCUGAUGUGAAAGCCCCGGCUCAACCGGGGAGGGUCAUUGGAAACUGGGGAACUUGAGUGCAGAAGAGGAGAGUGGAAUUCCAUGUGUAGCGGUGAAAUGCGUAUAUGGAGGAACACCAGUGGCGAAGGCGACUCUCUGGUCUGUAACUGACGCUGAGGCGCGAAAGCGUGGGGGAGCAAACAGGAUUAGAUACCCUGGUAGUCCACGCCGUAAACGAUGAGUGCUAGGUGUUAGAGGUUUCGAUGCCCUUAGUGCCGAAGUUAACACAUUAAGCACUCCGCCUGGGGAGUACGACCGCAAGGUUGAAACUCAAAAGGAAUUGACGGGGGCCCGCACAAGCAGUGGAACAUGUGGUUUAAUUCGAAGCAACGCGAAGAACCUUACCAGGUCUUGACAUCCUUAUGACAUCCCUAGAGAUAGGGCUUUCCCUUCGGGGACAUAAGUGACAGGUGGUGCAUGGUUGUCGUCAGCUCGUGUCGUGAGAUGUUGGGUUAAGUCCGCAACGAGCGCAACCCAUGAUCUUAGUUGCCAGCAUUCAGUUGGGCACUCUAAGGUGACUGCCGGUGAUAAACCGGAGGAAGGUGGGGAUGACGUCAAAUCAUCAUGCCCCUUGACCUGGGCUACACGUGCUACAAUGGAUGGUACAAAGGGCUGCGAGACCGCGAGGUAAGCCAAUCCCAUAAAGCCAUUCUCAGUUCGGAUUGUAGGCUGCAACUCGCCACAUGAAGCCGGAAUUGCUAGUAAUCGCGGAUCAGCAUGCCGCGGUGAAUACGUUCCCGGGCCUUGUACACACCGCCCGUCACACCACGAGAGUUUGUAACACCCGAAGUCGGUGGGGUAACGCAAUUUGCGAGCCAGCCGCCUAAGGUGGGACAGAUGAUUGGGGUGAAGUCAUAAGGUAGCCGUAUCGGAAGGUGCGGCUGGAUCACCUCCUUU